GGAACCGUGGUGUAGGGGUAAGCUUGGUUGCCUCACACCCAGUCGGCUUGGGUUUAAUCCCAGACGGUCCCG
rnacentral:tRNA from 1 species